UUCAGUUCUGGCUCAGAGUCCGGACCAGACCGGGCCGGACCUGGAGCCAUGAUGCUACCAGGCUCAUCUGCUGAACAGUAACAUGUGAAUCAUGUUACUGCUAAAGCUAAAGCUGCUGUUUGAGUCGCUCUGAUGUGUCUCAGUGUGAAUGAGAUCAACCCACAGAAACAGCCAGCAGCUCGUCAGCGGCUGUCUGACCUGCUCACACGGAGAAAGAGGAAAAACAUCCAAAUUACAGCUUCGGUUUCAAGAAAGGGAUCUAAUGAACUCACAGACAGCUCAACAUUAACAACACGCACAAGAAAGCAACGUAGAUUCAUUGUAAACACCACUAAUCUAAGCUGUUACAUCUGGGCUUCUCUAAUGAACAUUCAGUUAUUAAAAAUGAGAAUUGAUGGAAAGUUAAUGCAGCCUGACGAGUUCAAAGGUUAAAAAAUGCUAAAAGGAAUGAAAACUGGAAAACAGUUACAAAGCUUUCAACAGCAGAUAAUAUAAAAUGUCUGCAGAUUGUUUGGUACCAAGAGAAAAAGUUAGUUUUUUAAAUUUACUCCUUUUGACACAUAAAUGAUCUUUUGGUGCUCAGUGAAACUUUCUAGUCUAAAUUAAACAUUUCAUAGUUCUGAAAUAAAAACAACCAGACAUCUCAGAAGUUAAUCUGCAGAGAACAUGAGUCUGCAGAGCAUGACCUGCAGCCAAGGGGGCGUGGCCUGCAGCCAAGGGGGCGUGGCCUGCAGCCAAGGGGGGCGUGGCCUGCAGCCAAGGCGGGCAUGGCCUGCAGCCAAGGCGGGCAUGGCCUGCAGCCAAGGGGGCGUGACCUGCAGCCAAGGGGGCGUGGCCUGCAGCCAAGGGGGGCGUGGCCUGCAGCCAAGGCGGGCAUGACCUGCAGCCAGGGGGGCGUGGCCUGCAGCCAAGGGGGGCGUGGCCUGCAGCCAAGGGGGCAUGGCCUGCAGCCAAGGGGGCCUGACCUACAGCCAGGGGGGCGUGGCCUGCAGCCAAGGGGGCAUGACCUACAGCCAAGGGGGGCGUGGCCUGCAGCCAAGGGGGCAUUGCCUGCAGCCAAGGGGGGCGUGGCCUGCAGCCAAGGGGGCAUGGCCUGCAGCCAAGGGGGCAUGACCUACAGCCAAGGGGGGCGUGGCCUGCAGCCAAGGGGGCAUGGCCUGCAGCCAAGGGGGCAUGACCUACAGCCAAGGGGGGCGUGGCCUGCGCAGUCAAGGUUUUAUAAGUUGAAAGAUGUUUUGAAUUGUCUCUGGAUUUUCAUUUCUAACUGGAAUGUGAAAUUAAUUUGUUCUUGAAUCAGAAUCAUAAAAGCGUCGCUCUACCUGUUAUUUAUGAAAGAAAUAUUUCUCCAAAUGUGCUGAAUUGCCGCAGUGAUGUAAGACUGUUUACCUGAAGCUUUUUAGAGGCUGACCUUCAGAGCGUUAGCCGCACAAAGCGAAGCAGAACAACUGAACUGUGAAGGACUUUGGUUAACGUCAGGAGCUCUGACAGGCGUUUCAGAAAUCAAUCUGAGAGCAGAAACAAAACGAGUGGAAUCCAUUUGUUCUGAAUCAAAAUGAAAAUAUUACAACAAACUCAGUAGAAUCUAGGAGUUAAAUUACAUAUGAAGAAGUUUUAAUCUGUUUGCUAACUGUACUUUCUGAUAAUCUUUCUGCAACACUU